UCCCGUGCCGCGUCUUUGUUUUCUUUUUUUCCGUCUCAUGGUUUUAAUCCUUCUUCUCCACCACUUCACAUCCACUUUUCCUUCUUCCCUUCUUAUUCAAACUUCUCACCACUUUGUUAGAUUCUUCUGACUCUUCUCCAUUAUCACUGGCUACCACUCACUAUCAUCUUCCUCCACCACUUAUUUAGGUCAGGAAUCGCUUCGAUGUUUUGUCGCAUACGAGAAUCAGAUCUGAAUGAACCCAAUCGAUGGGGCACAAAAAGCAAAACCCUGCUUCGACACGAAACAACCCGCGGCGGUGCAAUCUGGUGUCGGCGGAGCCACCAACGGUGUCAUGUCGUCCGCACGCUAAUGGAACCCAAAAUUUGAAAGGUGAUGAAGAAGAUGAAUUUUGGGUCGUUCCUUCUUUAACUAGGGUGAUGUGCUGAAAACCGUUUGGACGGAUGAAGUGGGGCUAGGAAUAUCUUCCUCUACACUGUCAAAGGCAGCUCUACCAGUUAACAUCUUUAUAGCAAUUUCAAUCACUUCAACAAACCAUUCAUCCUCAGGCAAGACACUGUCAUUCAAAGGUUAUUGAUUAGUAUAAAGCACUGUAUAACAAAAAUUCUUGAUUCCAUCAUAAAUGUACUUAAAUGAUGCAGACAUAUUUUCCAUUUAUCUGCAUUUUUCCUUUGAUAUUCAAUGGAAGGCAAUGGAAUGAGGGCAGAAUAGUAGGUUCUAAGAGGUGUAUAAAGGUGCUCCUGGAUAAUUUUUUUUAAUACACUGUGCAUGUUAUUUUUCAGUAAAAACUUUAUUCUUUUACUUCUUUAACCGAUGUCCUAAUGACACUAAUAAGCUAAAUGCUAAAUAACGAAAUAGAUGUACCUGUUGGGAUCUAGACCUGUAGCAGCAAGAGCAUUAAUAGCCCCAUCCAACCUGGUAUGAAAUUCAGAAAAACCUUGAUUUUUUCUUUUGAGGAAGGGACCAUAUGGUGGCAUGCUCACAGUGAUUGGUUAAGAGCCACUGUCUAUGGUGUCAUCUAUGUCUAUCCAACCAAGACUACUCCCUACCCUUUUCCUCAACCUGAUGCCGAGAUUCCAGUCAUAUUUGGUAUGAAAAGUUAUCCUUAACAGUUUUUUUUUCUGCAAUUCACGAAAUAUAGCUAGAACAUACUGCUACAAGCAGGAGGAAAAAAAGCAAUUUUUUUAUUUACUUAUGUAUAUGCAAGAGAGUGGUGGAUUAAUGAUGUCAACGAGGUCUUCAGACAGUCUUCUGAAACCGGAGUGACCCCAAACAUAUAUGAUGCUCUCACUAUACUAAUUUACUUUUCUAAGAAUAAAAUAUAUGUUUUUUAUUAGUAGAUUAUUAUAAUUAUAAUGAUAUUUAGAUACUUUAAUAAAGUUUGUUGUUGCUGGUUUUGUGUACAACAUUUUGUGUCGAAUCUGUUGCAGCAGUUGAGUCCAAUAGUUUAUACAGAGCUCAUUCAAGCAAGCCAAAUUCAAGGGAGUAUUUUCUUUUUAAUUACAAAAAAGGUAUGACAUCCUCACUUGUAUUUACUUGGGUAUUUCUUGUUUAUUUAGAAAGUCUACUAGCACAUGUCACGUGAUCUCUAGAAUUUUGUUUUAAAUGAAGUACCAAAAUAGUGAAACACCUAUUUUUGUCUUUGAAAGAUAUAGGAGAUGACAAGUAGGUUCUUGAAAAAAAAAACUUGGUGACAUCUUAGUCCCUGUAACUUUUUAUGGUUGAGGAUGUUUGUCCCACUCUUAGGAUCAGAAUAACUCUUCUAGUUACAUGAGGAGUUGUUAAGUGUAAAUAUGUCAUCUUACUUUUUUAAGCAAAUUUCAUACAUUUUUGUUAAAAUCUUUUAUUUUUUUGCUGAAGUUGGGAAAUGUUAAAAUGAAAUCUAUCAGUAUAUCAUCUCAAAAGUAUAGUUAAACAUUAAUGUAUAGAGUAGUUGACCUUAAUUUCAAAAAUCUAUGUAUAUAGUCCAUCUGGAUCUCAAGGAGAGGGAUACAAAAUGAAUCUGAUGAAGCAAAAUUGAGAUUUGCUGCUGCCGAGUUAAUUUAACUUAAGUUUUCCCCACUCUUGCUGUUUAUAGCCGUAACAUGAUUGUUUUUCUGUAACAAUAUAAUGGAUGAGCUAUAUCUUUUAUUCAUAUAUUUAUAUCUUUUGAUGAUUGGUACAUACAGGGUGACCAUGUAACGUUCCUUAAUGUAUACAAGGGGUUUCAUCAAUUCACAGUGGUGUCACAAGAACUAUGUAAAAUUAUCAUGCCAUGGUGUGUGUGUUUAGUAAUUUUUCACAAUAUAAGCAUUUCAAUAU